GUAACAUGCAUAGCCAUUUUAAAUCCCUGUUAGUCAUUUACUGUCAGAAUUGUGCCGUUUUUGCCAACGCUGCCUGUAAACUGAGCGAGCCCUGAGUUGAUUUUGGUCGAUAUUUCCGCUUUUGUUUCACCAGGAUUGAAGAGCAGGAAGUUAAGGCUCACCGGCGUGACGUGAUGAUGCUGAACACCAAUAAAUCAUUACAAGCAGACAAUACUGAAGAAUGUUCUGACAACAGCAGCAGGGACUUAUGGAGACUUGAGCAGAUGAUGAGGAUUUUAAGCAGGAGAAGCGCAGACGUCAUCUCAGACUGCGGCAUCGCUCAUUUCCAGCGCUAGAUGUUGGAGUUGAAGGGAGUCCAGUAAUGGGGACGAGGUGCCACUUGUCUGAUCCACUCCUCCUCCUGACCCGGCUCCUGGCUGAGCUGUACUCUGGUUUUCACAGAGCUAUUUCUGUUUUUUCAUGUGUUUGAGAGUGACAGGGAAGGAGAGCGCAGAUGACAAGCAAGGUCAUGAGCUGAGUCCCAACCUAUUACUGGUGGAGUGUGUGCCUGAGCCUGGUGGAGAGCCAGGAUACCUAGAGGAAACCCUGAGUCUAUGGAAACGCAGAGGAGGCCAUUCACGCUUUAUUAGGCCACAGUACAUUACUUGGUAUGGUCUCUGCUCCACCCGUAACCUGCGUGAUGGCUCCAUCCGAACAUCUGAACAUGUACCGACAGCUCAUCCAUGGAAUGAUCCUGGAGUCGAGUUGUUCAAGCUACUGUAGCUUAAUCGUAAACCUGUGUUUGAAUAUUUGUAUAUAAUAUUUGUAUAUUUAAAUUUUUCAUAAAAGUCUGUCUGAAGGUUUGAUUUCCUCCACAUUUCACAGCUGUUUUUGUUUGCAGUCAUUUAUUAGAGUUAAGUUAAAUAAGUUGACUGGAAGCUGUUAAUUCAUUCAGCUCCUCUCUUCAUACUUCAGACGCUAAUUUAAUACAAAUAAUCUCUGUUAAGUUGCUAUGGAAAGCGUCUGGUAGCCAUCACCGUCACUGCUCUGUUAUUCAGAAUUAAUUCGCAGACUCAACUUCAAACACUUUCCAUUUCCAUUUCCCCCUGAUGCAAACUGACGUUCCAUCCUCAUUUGCGUCGCGUGUUAUCUGACGCUGAGAGGAAGAUGCAUGCCAUAUGUCAACUCUAUUACUCAGCCGAGAUUGCUUUCAAUUAUCAUGACAAAAUGCAAUAUGCCAACAGGUACACAUGCCUGGGUGAGCUCCACGUGCGUGGACGCUCACCCAACCUGCAGCCGUAAUACUAACCUGAAUCUGUACGUCGCCAACCUGACGGACAGCUGGCGCUUGGAGGACGUCACCCCACAGGCGCUUCUACUGUCGCUGCACAAGGACUGAAGCGCUUUCUCCUGCACAACUAGACUGUAAUUGACUUGAAUGUUAAGGCUCAUGCUAGCUUGCUAACGCUCCCCUCGCGAUCCUGCUGUCGAUCCUAUUUCCAUACCCGGCAUGGAGCUGCGGUGCUAAUAACGUUAGCGUGCUGACGGUCGCUGUGGAAGCGAGGCUUCUGCGUUGGUCCUCCCCUUUACAGACAAACAGUCCAGGUCGGGUUAGUGCAGUGCGUUCGGAUCCUGCUGUGAACACUGAAUUCAUUGUUUACCACUCCCAGUGUGUGACUGUUGGCUUCCUGAGGCGCAUCACAAAGCUGAACCUUCAGACUGGCCAAAAUGAAAUAUGCGUGUUUAACCCCAGGCUUUACUGUCAUUUUUCCAUUGUUU
ensembl:lncRNA